rnacentral:lncRNA from 1 species
AGUGUGAGUAGUGUGGGUAAUAGUCAUACAUUGGUUGGAAAUGUAGAGACAUCAAACAUUAUUUUGCAUACCAGAAGACUUUGCAAAAGAAUUCCGAUAGUCAUUUUUUAAAUAUUUUUUAACUUUUAUUGUGUACGAAAAGACUUUGUAAAAUAGUUUCAAUAUUCAUUUUUUAAUUUUUAUUUUAUGUACCAGAAGACUUUGUAAAAGAGUUAUGAUAGUCAUUU